rnacentral:lncRNA from 1 species
UGUAGGGCCAGGCCUGACCCCAGGACAGCAGCUGGCCACUGCUGGAGGAGCAGUGGGACAAAGCACAUUCCUGGGGGCAAUUUUCACUCUGGCAGGAAGAGAAGGAAAGUUUCUACUGUGGGGAAAGGCUGGAGGAAGGGCGCAGCACCCUCUUGCCUCAACCUGGUUCUGUACCCUUCUAGGCCAGAGGCCGCCUCCAGGAAGCCUUCUCUGAGGGAACCCAGAACUGGCGAGGACCAGCACACCUGCCACACCACUCACGGGGGCUGGCUCAGCUCUGAAGGAGAGGCUGCUGGCAACUGCAACAUGGGAAGGAGAGCUGGACAGAGAGGAGGACUUCCAGGGAGCCGAGACCCGGAGUCCAGGCACCUGGCACACAGGAGGAGUCCGGGGCAGGGCCAGGACCAACCCCCUCCCCAGACUGCUUGCCCCGGCCACACAUCUGUGCAAACACCCCUCCCCUCAGCUUGCCAGAGACAGACAGACAGGAGGAUGGCAAGGAGAGGGACUCCUCCAGGCUCUCGCAGGCUCCAGUGGGGGUGGCAGGAGCCUCAAGAUUUUCUUAUCUGUAGAGCAAGACAGAAAUUUCAAAGGAAUGGAAGAAUAAUAUAAUAAAACUAAGGGUUAUUAACAACUAUUAUUAUUAAUGAUUAUUCUUUAUUAUUGAGCUGUUACUAUGUGCUAAGAUAAUAUUAAGCCUUUUGUUAUUAACUCUUCUUCUUUAUUUUUUUUUUAGACAGGGUCUCACUAUGUAGUUCAGGCUGACCUUUAACUCAC